GUCUAUGGCCAUACCACCCUGAAUGUGCCCGAUCUCAUCUGAUCUCAGAAGCUAAGCAGGGUUGGGCUUGGUUAGUACUCUGAUGAGAGGGGAAAAAGGGGUGAGUAAAUACA
ensembl:rRNA 5S_rRNA 5S ribosomal RNA